rnacentral:lncRNA from 1 species
GAGCAUCCGCGAGAACUUCCUUCUAAGCUAAAUGUGUCAUCUAGCACCUGAAAAAAUUUAAGUCUGGUUCUUUCUGGAUAAAAGAAAGCGCACAGGAUUUUGAGCCAGUCUAGGAUUCACGAUGUAACCAUGGAGCAGAUGCUUUGAGGUGGUGAAUGACAUUUCCAGCAUUGAAGGACAGCAUAGACACGGAAAUACAUUUUAUGGCGUGCCAGUGGCUGUGGUGGGUCUCAGGGAUGCAAGGUGGGUGAGACUCCCUGUCUGUUCCUGAGGAGCUCUGGUGAGUGGGAAGGAGAAGGGAACACUUGAAGAGCAUGGCAGCCUUAAAGAGGCAGUGGGCUGAGGAGGCUCGCUCUGUGUUCAGAAAUUGGAACAGGGUUAUAGAAAGGAUGCUGUGUGGCUGUUAAAGUAAACUCCACCCAUUUUAGAAUUUUCCUUGGAAGCGGCCUCAAUGUCCAGAAAAGAGUGGGAAAAAUCUUUCCCCUUUUCAAAU